rnacentral:misc_RNA from 1 species
AUGCAGAAUAUAACCCAAAGCGUUUUGCUGCCGUCAUUAUGAGAAUUAGGGAACCAAAAACUACUGCAUUGAUUUUUGCCUCUGGGAAGAUGGUGUGUACGGGUGCAAAAAGUGAGCAGCAGUCAAAAUUGGCAGCAAGGAAGUAUGCUCGAAUUAUCCAAAAGCUUGGGUUUCCUGCCAAGUUCAAGGAUUUCAAGAUUCAGAAUAUUGUUGGCUCCUGUGACGUGAAGUUCCCCAUCAGACUUGAAGGUCUGGCAUACUCUCAUGGUGCUUUCUCAAGUUAUGAACCUGAGCUCUUUCCAGGCCUAAUUUAUCGCAUGAAACAGCCAAAGAUUGUGCUGCUUAUUUUUGUCUCAGGGAAAAUUGUGAUUACAGGAGCGAAGGUAAGGGAUGAGACAUACACAGCCUUUGAGAAUAUAUACCCUGUCCUUACUGAGUUCAGGAAGGUCCAACAAUGAUGCACAUUUCCGUUGGGGAAUUGAGUGUUGCUGUUGAUGGCUAUGGUUGAGGUGGGAAAAGUGUGCAUAUGUGGAGUGGUUUUGGCAGCCAUGGCUUAUAGGCUGUGGAUCUGUUCCUGUGGUCUUUUUACCCUGUGGUAUGAAUUGGGGGUCUAUUUCCCUCCCCAAAUGACAGGGUUAAUAAACUCUGUAAUUUGUAACUAGUGAAUUCGAUCUGGAGUUGUUAGGGGAGGAGAAGAUGAAGAUGCUCAAGAACAUGUUUUGUUUUAAUCUUUAACAAGUUAAUAUCACAGACGUAAUUUCAAUUUUGGCUGGAAACAUGUAUUUUGUGCCUUUAUUUGUGGACCCUUUGUCUAUUUAAGCUCCGGUAUUACAUGUAUUUGAGGGUGGGAAAAAGAACAAAAAAAGGAGCAAGGAUGUACAUGUUAAAGAGUAACUUGCCUGCACGGCCGCACCUAAAGAUAAAUCGAGUUAAAAGCCCA